rnacentral:rRNA from 1 species
GACGAACGCUGGCGGCGUGCUUAACACAUGCAAGUCGAACGGAAAGGCCCUGCUUUUGUGGGGUGCUCGAGUGGCGAACGGGUGAGUAACACGUGAGUAACCUGCCCUUGACUUUGGGAUAACUUCAGGAAACUGGGGCUAAUACCGGAUAGGAGCUCCUGCUGCAUGGUGGGGGUUGGAAAGUUUCGGCGGUUGGGGAUGGACUGGGGGCUUAUCAGCUUGUUGGUGGGGUAGUGGCUUACCAAGGCUUUGACGGGUAGGCAGCCUGAGAGGGUGAACGGCAACAUGGGGAAUAAGAGAGGGAGCAGACGGCAAGGGGGGGCAGGGGGGGGGAGAAUGAAAAAGUGGGGGGAAGCGUGUGGAAGAGGUCGGGGGGGGGGAAUGAGGGCUUGGGGGUGAGAACCGGUAUUAAGGGGAGAAAAAGAGGGGGUGAGGUUAAAGAAAAAAGAAGAACCGGAUAACUACGUG